GGGGAAUUUUGGACAAUGGGCGAAAGCCUGAUCCAGCAAUGCCGCGUGUGUGAAGAAGGCCUUCGGGUUGUAAAGCACUUUUUUCCGGAAAGAAAUGGCUCUGGUUAAUACCUGGGGUCGAUGACGGUACCGGAAGAAUAAGGACCGGCUAACUACGUGCCAGCAGCCGCGGUAAUACGUAGGGUCCAAGCGUUAAUCGGAAUUACUGGGCGUAAAGCGUGCGCAGGCGGUUGUGCAAGACCGAUGUGAAAUCCCCGAGCUUAACUUGGGAAUUGCAUUGGUGACUGCACGGCUAGAGUGUGUCAGAGGGGGGUAGAAUUCCACGUGUAGCAGUGAAAUGCGUAGAGAUGUGGAGGAAUACCGAUGGCGAAGGCAGCCCCCUGGGAUAACACUGACGCUCAUGCACGAAAGCGUGGGGAGCAAACAGGA
rnacentral:rRNA from 1 species